rnacentral:rRNA from 1 species
GAAAGGAAGAUUAAUACAGAUUGGCAUCAUGAGUUCCGCAUGUUCACAUGAUUAAAGGUAUUCCGGUAGACGAUGGGGAUGCGUUCCAUUAGAUAGUAGGCGGGGUAACGGCCCACCUAGUCUUCGAUGGAUAGGGGUUCUGAGAGGAAGGUCCCCCACAUUGGAACUGAGACACGGUCCAAACUCCUACGGGAGGCAGCAGUGAGGAAUAUUGGUCAAUGGGCGAGAGCCUGAACCAGCCAAGUAGCGUGAAGGAUGACUGCCCUAUGGGUUGUAAACUUCUUUUAUAAAGGAAUAAAGUCGGGUAUGGAUACCCGUUUGCAUGUACUUUAUGAAUAAGGAUCGGCUAACUCCGUG